rnacentral:rRNA from 1 species
UUAUUGGAGAGUUUGAUCCUGGCUCAGGAUGAACGCUGGCGGCGUGCCUAAUACAUGCAAGUCGAGCGAAUGGAUUGAGAGCUUGCUCUCAAGAAGUUAGCGGCGGACGGGUGAGUAACACGUGGGUAACCUGCCCAUAAGACUGGGAUAACUCCGGGAAACCGGGGCUAAUACCGGAUAACAUUUUGAACUGCAUAGUUCGAAAUUGAAAGGCGGCUUCGGCUGUCACUUAUGGAUGGACCCGCGUCGCAUUAGCUAGUUGGUGAGGUAACGGCUCACCAAGGCAACGAUGCGUAGCCGACCUGAGAGGGUGAUCG